AUUGAACGCUGGCGGCAUGCUUUACACAUGCAAGUCGAACGGCAGCAUGGGUGCUUGCACCUGAUGGCGAGUGGCGAACGGGUGAGUAAUGUAUCGGAACAUAUCCGCAAGUGGGGGAUAACGUAGCGAAAGUUACGCUAAUACCGCAUAUUCCCUGAGGGGGAAAGGAGGGGAUCCGCAAGGACCUUUCGCUUACGGAGUGGCCGAUAUCAGAUUAGCUAGUUGGUGGGGUAAAGGCCUACCAAGGCGACGAUCUGUAGCGGGUCUGAGUGGAUGAUCCGCCACACUGGGACUGGGACACGGCCCAGACUCCUACGGGAGGCAGCAGUGGGGAAUUUUGGACAAUGGGGGCAACCCUGAUCCAGCCAUGCCGCGUGAGUGAAGAAGGCCUUCGGGUUGUAAAGCUCUUUCAGCUGGAAAAAAAUCGCAUCACCUAAUACGUGGUGUGGAUGAUGGUACCAGCAGAAGAAGCACCGGCUAACUACGUGCCAGCAGCCGCCGUAACAC
rnacentral:rRNA from 1 species